rnacentral:lncRNA from 1 species
CGACGGCGACAUGGACAUGUACGGCUCCCGCUCCGGGAGGCGCGAGUGUCGGCGCCAGUGCCUGCGCCGCUACGAGGACCAGCCGUGGCGGACCCAGGAGUGCAUGACGCAGUGCCGCCGCCGCCACGGCGGCGGGCAGGCCGAGGCCGAUGAGGAGGAGGAGGAGGAGUACGAGAUGAGCGGCCGCGGCGGCGAGGGCGAGGGGCGCCGCAAGUGCCGGGAGAGGUGCGAGCGGCACCACCGCGGCGGGGACUGGUGGGAGAAGCAGCGCUGCCUGAUGGACUGCAAGAGCCGGGAGCAGGAGGAGGAGGAGGAAGGCGGUAGCGGUAGUGGUGGCCGUCGCCGCCGCGAGGAGGACAGCGGCGGCGACCGCUGCCGGUGCGAGAAGAAGUGCGAGCGCCAUCACGACCGCGGGAGCAAGCAGCGGUGCGUCGAGGCCUGCGAGCGCCGGCGACAGGAGGACAGCGACCGGUGCCAGAAGCGAUGCCAGCACUACGGUGACCGGCAGGCGAGGCGGUGGUGCGUGCAGCGCUGCGAGCGUCAGGGAGCCGACGACGA